rnacentral:rRNA from 1 species
CGUGAUAAGCGGGAGGAAGGUGUGGAUGACGUCAAGUCCUCAUGGCCCUUACGGGUUGGGCUACACACGUGCUACAAUGGCAGUGACAAUGGGUUAAUCCCCAAAAGCUGUCUCAAUUCGGAUUGGGGUCUGCAACUCGACCCCAUGAAGUCGGAAUCGCUAGUAAUCGCGUAACAACAUGACACGAUGAAUACGUUCCCGGGCCUUGUACACACCGCCCGU